CCUACGGGUGGCAGCAGUGAGGAAUAUUGGUCAAUGGACGAAAGUCUGAACCAGCCAAGUAGCGUGAAGGAUGACUGCCCUAUGGGUUGUAAACUUCUUUUGUAUGGGAAUAAAAUGUUCCACGUGUGGGAUUUUGUAUGUACCAUAUGAAUAAGGAUCGGCUAACUCCGUGCCAGCAGCCGCGGUAAUACGGAGGAUCCGAGCGUUAUCCGGAUUUAUUGGGUUUAAAGGGAGCGUAGGUGGAUGGUUAAGUCAGUUGUGAAAGUUUGCGGCUCAACCGUAAAAUUGCAUUUGAAACUGGCAGUCUUGAGUAUAGUAGAGGUAGGCGGAAUGCGUGGUGUAGCGGUGAAAUGCUUAGAUAUCACGAAGAACUCCGAUUGCGAAGGCAGUUCACUGGACUGCAACUGACACUGAGGCUCGAAAGUGUGGGUAUCAAACAGGAUUAGAUACCCCAGUAGUC
rnacentral:rRNA from 1 species